rnacentral:rRNA from 1 species
UACGGGGGGGCAAGCGUUGUUCGGAAUUACUGGGCGUAAAGGGCUCGUAGGCUGCCAACUAAGUCAGACGUGAAAUCCCUCGGCUUAACCGGGGAACUGCGUCUGAUACUGGAUGGCUUGAGAUCGGGAGAGGGAUGCGGAAUUCCAGGUGUAGCGGUGAAAUGCGUAGAUAUCUGGAGGAACACCGGUGGCGAAAGCGGCGCGCUGGACCUCUUCUGACGCUGAGGCGCGAAAAGCUAGGGGAGCAAACAGG